AGCACACGCAUCCAGCCAUCUAAAAGAAAACGUGAUUCAUCAGACCAGGCAACCUCCUUCAAUUUCUCCAUAGUCCAUUUCUGACACUUAUAUCCCUAUUGAAAGCGCACUUGGUGGUGGACAAAGGUCAUCAUGGGCACUCUACGGCUAUGCCACCCCAUACGCAGCAAUCUUUAAAGCACUGUGUGUUCUGACCCAUUUUCUAUCAUGGCCAGCAUUACGUUUUUCAGCAACUUGAGCUACAGUACCUCUUCUGUGUGAUCGGAUCAGAAGAGCUAGCCUUCACUCCCCACAUGCAUCAAUGAGCCUUGAGCCCAUGAUGCUGAUGCUAGUUCACCAGUUGUCAUUCUUUGCACCACUUUUGGUGGAUACUAUCCUCUGCACACCGGAAACACC